UUGAUCGGCUUAGAAUGUAAUAACCCCUUCCACCGAGCCACGUCUCGAAAAUUAGCUGGGUCUUCGGACCUGACGAUUUGAGGAAGAGUCUCGCAUGCGAAGGUCAUGCUUUCAAAAAUUUUUGAACGAGUAAUGUGCAAGUAUGUGCAAAAUAAUCGUGUUUACGCGUCAUACGUCUCAAAGAAACUUACAAGCAAUCCAAACGAGAUACAGAAGACAAAACACAGACGAAGGCAGUUCCAAUAGCCAUGAAUUGUUGGGUGAGAGCAGAAUCGACUGUUAUCUGAAUUGUAAUUAUUUCCAGAGAAGAUACGAGAAUAUCAACUACGCUCAACUUGAUAAUUAAACAUUAGACAUCGGAAGUGAAACUUAUUUACCUUACACCUCCUGUUCUUCCGUACAUCUUGUGAUAUGUCUUACAAGGAUAGUAUAAAUAUCUGACCAUCAACCUGAUAACGAAAUGAAAACAUUUUCCUGUUCAAUCUUAUAUUUAAAUGGACAAUCAAUCAAUGCUGUGUUUAUCGAAUGUUACUGAAUUUUUACAAAGAUUUUAUGAUGGCUACCGGAGUAUUGCUAUUGAUGAGAGGGACAUUAGGUCUCCUAACUGCAGCUAUCCUUAAGGUAUUGUAUCAGUUUAUAUAAAUCAAGAACCCAUAUAUCUUUCAACUAAUGUAAUGAAGAAUAUUAGAUAUGGGAAGCAAGAUGCUAGAUGAAGGAGAGCAGAUCGUAAAAACGUUGGAGGAAGCUGAUGCUUACGAAUUUAUUACAAAUGUUGCGAAUAAUCUGAAACCCACGUUGGUGAAGGAGGAAGCUAAUUAUCUGGUGUAUGAAAGCAGCAUGUUGCUUUUGCUAGAGCAUUAUUAUAGCUAUCAUCGACUUCAAUAUUGAAUUAUAAUUCAUGAGCGCAUUGGAUCGUUAUAACGGAAGAGUGGUUGAAGAAACGGCGGAAAAUUCUAACCAACGAAGGAACAUAGUUAGCUAUUGCUAUUGCGUGCAUUAUCGGAUUGAGAAUACCUAGGAAAAGGAAAGAGGAGAAAAAACAUUCGUUUUUCCGACGAAGUCAGGAAAGACCAACAUGGCAUUGUUUUAUUAAGCUUGGAACGGCGGUAAGAGGAAAUGGGAGGGAUUUACCUUUUUCAAAGGAUUCAAACAGAUACAGGAGAUGAAACAGAGGCGAAAGCAGUUCCAACAGCCUUGAAGUGUUCAGAAAAAGCAGAAUCGACGUUUAUCUGAAUUGUAAUUACUUUCAAAGAAGAUACGACAAUUUCAACAAGCUCUCCUUGAUAAUUAAACGUUCGACAUUAGAAAUGAAACACAUUCACUUUGUACUUCCAUUUCUUCCAUACAUCAGAUGAUAUGUACUACAUGGAUAAUACAAAUGUCCGACCAACAACCAGAUAAAGAAACGAAAAUAUUUUCCUCUUUAAUCUUAUAUUUAAAUGGUCAAUCGAUCAAUGCUGUGUUUAUCGAAUGUUACUGAAUUUUUAUAAAGAUUUUAUGACGACUACGGGAGUAUUGUUAUUGAUGAGAGGGACAUUAGGUCUUUUAACUGCAGCUAUCCUUAAGAUCGUAAAAGCGACGGAAGAAGCUGAUGCUGCUCACGAAUUUAUUACCAAUCUUGCAAAUGAUGUGAAACCCAAUUUGGUGAGGAAGGAAACUAAUUAUAUGGUGUCUGAAAACAAUGUUGCUAUUGCUGAAGCAUUAUUAUAGCAGCAAUCGACUUCAAUAUUAAAUUUUAAUAAACGAGUGCAUCGUAAAAGCAGAAAAUUAGUUCAAGAAGUAGUUGGAAAUUAUAACCAAAGAAGGAACAUCGUUAGCUAUUGCACUUGUGUGCAUGUUGUGAUUGGGACUACUUAGGAGAAGGGAAAAGAAGAAAAAAUAUUUGUGUUUUGCCGACGUAGUUUGGAAAGACCAAUAUGGCAGUAUUUUAUAAAACUUGAAACGGUGAUACGAGGAAAUGGGAGAGAUUUACCUUUUCUAAAGGAUUCAAACGUGAGCGGCUUUAAAUGUAAGUCAUAUGGGAUUAUACUUAGAGAGAUUUGUCGAGGGGCCGUCGGACGUUCUACGCGGGGCAAAGAUCAAAGGGGAAUUGAAAUGAAACUGAGGGAGGUAACAUAGGGACGAUGAAAAGAUUCACCGUUUUUGGAAGUAAUAACGUUAGCAGGGAAAUACUUUAAAAUUAUACGGGAAAUGGGAAGUCCAUGGUCACGUCAUGGUUAUUCCAUCGAUUUAAAUUAGGUAACCGUUCGAUAUUAUUAAGAAAGGAGAAAUGCUGAAUUCUAUAUUUCAAAUUGUUUGUCAUAAUAUUCACGACAUGUACUUAAAAAAUAUUCGUAAUAUUUAAUUAGCGAUUUUCAUAAAUAUUGAAAUUUGGACGAAGUCAUUUGGUGCGUAGCGCGAAUUACCUGUUAUUAAUACGUUCUCCCGUACUUAUCGUCAAGUACUUCCGUUUUAAUCCUUUCCUUAUUAUCUCUCCAUCGGCGUGUGCUCUGGUGCGCGUAUCUUCUUCAGUUCGAAUGGACGGGUUUGAGUGCCCGGUUCAAUGUGGGUGUAUGCGUACGAUUCCUGUCUUAUCAGAGAUAUGGACUAUUUUCUAAGCAUUAAAUUGAUUUGGAACAUAAUAUACGAAAUAUUAUAUAACUGUAGGUAUAAUGGGAUCAUUAUUUUGCAUUCUCCGAUAGGGAGUAAAUUUCUAGGAAAAUGUACGCGUUCAUGCAGAAGAAUCAAAUCAGUCGUGGUAGAUGGAUCUACUAGAGACUUAAUCAGGUAAUUAAAUGAUGCGGCUAAAUAGAUAAUUCAGUUAUACCACUAAUUUUAUUAUCGAAUUCUCUGCCUGGUUUGAUGAGAGGAAAAACUAAUGAAAAGAUACCUUUCUUGUUUUGAAAAUAAGAGAGGAGAAGUACGCAGACACGCUCACUUGAACUCGUGCACGUAAAUGCGCACAUGUACGAGGAGAGAUAAUUACUCGUUUAAUAUGAUGGUGCUGGACGAUAGGUAGGAGAAAAGGCGUACAUGCAGAUCGUUAAAUCCUGAUCAAUACCCGGUAAUACGGGAAUUUGUAGACAUGGGGGAUCAUAUGUUUUUGGAAAAAUAUCAUAAUUUUUUCCAUUAUAACUUUCUACUUAUCUCAAUGAUAAAUGUUGAAUCAAUUCUCUUUCCACAUUAUCAUCCCUCGCAUUAUGUAUGAGAUUCCUUCCUUUUUUUGUUGGAUGUCAUCACUAACACUCAUCGUAUUCUUCCCGAUUAAUAUUUAUUUUUUCUAACAUAUUUGUAUUAAUAUUUCCCUUUAAUCCAAAAUUCCCCUUCAGUAUUAUUUAUGACACGAAACUCAUUCGUGUUUGGAUAGUUUGCCAUUCUCUUAAUGAAAAAGAAAGAAGUAAAUAAACGUGUUGAUAAUCUCAAAUUGUAUAUUACGAAAUCACGAAACGAUAUAUACCAAAAGAAUAUUACGUUUCAGAUUUUCUGGCUUAUUAGUCCAAGGAACUAUCUAUUUCACUACAAGUAUCAAUACUAAGCGAUUUUAGCUUCGAAAAUAUCUGCUCAGUUUUAUGAUUACUUGUUUACUCCAUCAAAUGUCGCUACCUCGUACGGGGCGUACUCGCGUACCAUUGCAGAAAAUUCUUUAUCACUUUCUUUAAGUGGUUUAGUGAAGCCCCCAGACUAUUGUGUAUGUACUUCUUUUCCGUAAAACCGAUUGAUAUUCUUUUCAUAUAACUUAGUAAUUUGAGCAUUUCUUAAUUAAGUAUCUGAGUGGUUUUCUUGGAGCGGAAAUACGGGAAAGAAAAGAAGGUAAUAUUAGGAAACCAUAAAUGUGACGAAAGAUUUUCUCCAAAUACGUUGUAUAGAUAUAAGUAGUGAAGAGGAACUCCAGAAAGACAUUUAUAUAGAUUCGUUAGAAAAAAUAAAUAUUUAUCCGGAAGAAAAGGAUAGAAGUGAUUGGUCAAAGCUCAUUGAUGAAAGAGAUGGAAAUUUUUUAAAAGAAUUGCUUGAAAACUAAUCAUAGAUUUCGUAGAAAAUAAUAAGGAAUACAAUUUUUAUCUUUUUAUAACGAAAUAUGUUCUUCAAUAUAUACGAAUUCAUAUAAACCAAGCAUCUUUAUAAUACAUUGUAUGAUUUUAAAAUUAUGAUAUAUAAUGUGAUGUGAAUCGUAGGAUGACGUUUGCGCGAUAAAGUGCCAUCGAUUUGUUGAGAGCUAACGACCGAAAGAACUCUGGGCACAAAUGGUUAUUACGUUUUACGCACAUUAAUUGCUUUCACGCACGGAAAGGUCGAAAAUGAAGAUAAUUAAGGGGAAAUGAACUUCUCUUUUAUGAUUGAACAAAUAUCUUUUAAUUCGGAAUGUUACUUUUCUCUUUUUUUCUUUACAGUUUAUAAUUUGAAAUGAACUAAAGAAUGAUGACGAUUGACAAUUAAGUUUUUUCUUGUUUGUAUGCAUAAAAAUGACUAUCAAUAAGAAUUAAAUUCUCCAUUUUUGUAUUUUUUGAUACUAUCAUUUCUUUUUCUUUAUUACGCAAUAAUAAGAAAUGCGGAUUCACAGAAAAUCUUUCCCCAUAUUCAUUUUUUUUUUUUCGUUAUAUCAUCUCUUUUACGUAUUUCAUUUGAAUGCAUUUUACGCAGGUCAAUUAAAAUUGUCUGUUAAGCGGUCGAAAAGUCUGAAAAGGCCGAGGUUGGGAGGAAAUGAAUUUCUCGACCAAUCUCUUUUAAUUCGACCCAUUAUCAUUCGUUCGAAUACCGGUAUGACUAGACGGAAUAUGCCUUUUUGAAAGAACUCAUAGAUGGGGAGUUUUAGCUAGAGGGUAUAAUCGAUUCGAAUCAAAUAGGCCAUUGAAGGGUUGUCCGACCUUGCAGAUGGAACAUGAAUCAAAGUGGAAUUGAGAUGGAACUGAGGAAAGUUUAUCUUCUAACAUGAUUAAUCCUACGAGAACGAUAUAAAGAUUCACUGCUUUUCGAGAUAAUAAUGUUAGGCCGAGAUUACUUUUAAAUUAUACGAGAAAUGAUAAUUCCAUGUUUACUUCAUAGUGUCCUUGUUAUUUAUCCAUUUAAAUUGAGUAGUUAUUCCAUCUAAUUAUAAAUAUAAGAAAUUUUGAGUUCAACGUUUCAAAUUUUUAAUCCUAAUAGUCGUGAUAUGUAUUGAAAGAAUAUUUAUAAUAUUUAAUGUACGUUUUUCAAUAAUAUCGAAAUUUGAACGAAUUAA